rnacentral:rRNA from 1 species
GUGAACGCUGGCGGUAGGCCUAACACAUGCAAGUCGAACGGCAGCACAGUAAGAGCUUGCUCUUACGGGUGGCGAGUGGCGGACGGGUGAGGAAUACAUCGGAAUCUACUUUUUCGUGGGGGAUAACGUAGGGAAACUUACGCUAAUACCGCAUACGACCUACGGGUGAAAGCAGGGGAUCUUCGGACCUUGCGCGAUUGAAUGAGCCGAUGUCGGAUUAGCUAGUUGGCGGGGUAAAGGCCCACCAAGGCGACGAUCUGUAGCUGGUCUGAGAGGAUGAUCAGCCACACUGGAACUGAGACACGGUCCAGACUCCUACGGGAGGCAGCAGUGGGGAAUAUUGGACAAUGGGCGCAAGCCUGAUCCAGCCAUACCGCGUGGGUGAAGAAGGCCUUCGGGUUGUAAAGCCCUUUUGUUGGGAAAGAAAAGCAGCAGGUUAAUACCCCGCUGUUCUGACGGUACCCAAAGAAUAAGCACCGGCUAACUUCGUG